rnacentral:sRNA from 1 species
UUCGGCACGGGGGAACCGAAUACGGCCGCAAGGCCUUGGGGUGAAGCCUGGGAGACCAGGCCGGGCUCUCCUGCCCGAAUCCGACAGCUGACCUCGAAGGUUUCACAAGGAGAA